GCCCCGGUAAACGGCGGCCGUAACUAUAACGGUCCUAAGGUAGCGAAAUUCCUUGUCGGGUAAGUUCCGACCUGCACGAAUGGCGUAAUGAUGGCCAGGCUGUCUCCACCCGAGACUCAGUGAAAUUGAACUCGCUGUGAAGAUGCAGUGUACCCGCGGCAAGACGGAAAGACCCCGUGAACCUUUACUAUAGCUUGACACUGAACAUUGAGCCUUGAUGUGUAGGAUAGGUGGGAGGCUUUGAAGUGUGGACGCCAGUCUGCAUGGAGCCGACCUUGAAAUACCACCCUUUAAUGUUUGAUGUUCUAACGUUGGCCCGUAAUCCGGGUUGCGGACAGUGUCUGGUGGGUAGUUUGACUGGGGCGGUCUCCUCCUAAAGAGUAACGGAGGAGCACGAAGGUUGGCUAAUCCUGGUCGGACAUCAGGAGGUUAGUGCAAUGGCAUAAGCCAGCUUGACUGCGAGCGUGACGGCGCGAGCAGGUGCGAAAGCAGGUCAUAGUGAUCCGGUGGUUCUGAAUGGAAGGGCCAUCGCUCAACGGAUAAAAGGUACUCCGGGGAUAACAGGCUGAUACCGCCCAAGAGUUCAUAUCGACGGCGGUGUUUGGCACCUCGAUGUCGGCUCAUCACAUCCUGGGGCUGAAGUAGGUCCCAAGGGUAUGGCUGUUCGCCAUUUAAAGUGGUACGCGAGCUGGGUUUAGAACGUCGUGAGACAGUUCGGUCCCUAUCUGCCGUGGGCGCUGGAGAACUGAGGGGGGCUGCUCCUAGUACGAGAGGACCGGAGUGGACGCAUCACUGGUGUUCGGGUUGUCAUGCC
rnacentral:rRNA from 1 species